AGAUGAACCAGGGCCAACGGAGGACGGCUGCCUGCUGACAGCUGCCAUUUCCACAGACUCACUGGGCCAAAGUGAUAGCCAACACUGAGAAGAAGAAUCCAGUGUCCAGAUUUUUCAAAGGGCUGCAGAAGUCUUGUUCUGCUGGAUAUAUAUUUUUAAGUUAGAGCUUGUUGAACAACAGAAGAUUAUAGGACCAGCCAGAGACUCAAGGAGAGCCAAUGGGGGUAUUAUGGUUUUGGAUUUAGCUAACCACUGACUGGAGGAACUGAGACAGCAUACAGUGGCAAAGCCUUUGACAAAUGGACAAGGGAAGAUGUUGAUGGCAACUACUGUUUACCAUGCAGAUGAAACAGAUCAACACUUUGCCCCGGAGAGCACAUGCUCAUACCACUUUAAGGACGAAUACCCUGAGAAGUGGUUGUGUGUGGAGGUAUCCAAAGGCAAGGCCUUAUUAUUGACUGGAGAACCCAGAUCAGAAUUCAAAACAAUUCCAGAACAAUUAAAAUUCACAGAGAAAAAUUGCACAUGCAUAGAGGAAAUGAGAGGAUUAUGAUGGCACAUUAGUAACCAUGGACUAUGGGUUAAAUGAGUGGUCCUUAAACAUUGCUUGCUAGUUUCUCCAUGAACAAGAUUUUAGGAAAAACUUGUGCAUCUUUAAGUUGAUAUCUAAAAUUUGAUCUUCAGUUUAUAAUGAAUUGCAAAAGGUAUAAUUUCUGGCAAAUUAAAAACAGUGGCGCUUUUAAAAUUAAUCUGUCAAAUUACUCCGUAAAAUCUAUCCAAAGUAAUCCAAACAGCAAGUCGAGGAUCACAGUCAGUCAUUUAAUAAAGAAUGAUUACAUUUUCCAAUUGAAAAUUGCACAUCAUUCUUUACUCCCUUUAAACUCAUAUUUCCAGUCCAAUUCCAAUUUUAAUUUCCAUAAACUUCCACAGAAUUUUAUCCUAAAAAAAGACAUUUUGUGCAUGAGCGCCUUUAAUGAUCUCUGAAUCAUACUUCAGUGCAACAAAAAUAUGUGUGUAAAUUGAAAGGUAAAUUGUUUUUAAACAUCUAG
rnacentral:lncRNA from 1 species